rnacentral:rRNA from 1 species
UACGAAGGGGGCUAGCGUUGUUCGGAUUUACUGGGCGUAAAGCGCACGUAGGCGGAUCGUUAAGUCGGGGGUGAAAUCCUGGAGCUCAACUCCAGAACUGCCUUCGAUACUGGCGAUCUUGAGUCCGGGAGAGGGAUGCGGAAUUCCAGGUGUAGCGGUGAAAUGCGUAGAUAUCUGGAGGAACACCGGUGGCGAAGGCGGCAUCCUGGACCGGCAUUGGCGCUGAGGCGCGAAAGCCAGGGGAGCAAACGGG